CCAAUAGCGUAUAUUAAAGUUGUUGCAGUUAAAAAGCUCGUAGUUGAAUUUCGGGGUCAGCAGGUUGGUCGUGCCUAUGGUAUGCACUGGCUUUGCUGAUUCCUCCUUCUUGAAGAACUGUAAUGUCAUUAAUUUGGUGUUGCAGGGAAACAGGACUGUUACUUUGAAAAAAUUAGAGUGUUUAAAGCAGGCUAACGCUUGAAUACAUUAGCAUGGAAUAAUGAAAUAGGACGUUUGAUCCUAUUUUGUUGGUUUCUAGGAUUGACGUAAUGAUUAAUAGGGAUAGUUGGGGGCAUUAGUAUUCAAUUGUCAGAGGUGAAAUUCUUGGAUUUAUUGAAGACUAACUACUGCGAAAGCAUUUGCCAAGGAUGUUUUCAUUAAUCAAGAACGAAAGUUAGGGGAUCGAAGACGAUCAGAUACCGUCGUAGUCUUAACCAUAAACUAUGCCGACUAGGGAUCGGAUGAUGUUAAUUUUUUAAUGACUCAUUCGGCGCCUUACG
rnacentral:rRNA from 1 species